GAUGAACGCUGGCGGCGUGCCUAAUACAUGCAAGUCGAGCGAACAGACGAGGAGCUUGCUCCUCUGACGUUAGCGGCGGACGGGUGAGUAACACGUGUAUAACCUACCUAUAAGACUGGGAUAACUUCGGGAAACCGGAGCUAAUACCGUAUAACAUGUUGAAGCGCAUGGGUGGAUAGUGAAAUACGGUGUUGGUGUCAGUUAUAGAUGGAUCCACGCCGCAUUAGGUGGUUGGGAAGGUAACGGCUUACUAAGGCAAGGAUGCGUAGCCGAAGGGAGAGAGUGAUAGGCCACCUUGGAAGGUAACCACGCUCCAUGGGACUACGGUACGCAGCAGUAGCGAACCUGCCGCAACGGGCGAAAGCCUGACGGAGCAACGCCGAGCGAGUGACGAAGGUCUUCGGAUCGUAAAACCCUGUUAUGAGGGAAGAACAAAUGUGUAAGUAACUAUGCACGUAUUGACGGUAACUAAUAAGAAAGCCACGGCUAACUACGUG
rnacentral:rRNA from 1 species